UUGGAGGAAAUCUACAAGGAAAAUGUAAGAGAAAAGUAUACAAUUAAUUUUACUUGAUAUGCAAAGCAUAUGCCAAUUGCCAAAACGAAAAAUGAAGCCUUUACAACGUUUGAAUUAAAUUCAAUAAAUUACAAAAUACGAAUAUGCCUGCCAUUGUUUUCAAAGAGCAGACGACACUGGCAAAAAUUAAACAAUUUUCCAAGCUGGUCCUAGGCGGCUAUCGUGACUGAUUAAUCAGGGCCAGAGGUUACCUUACAAUACGUCCUGAUCCUUGCAAGAAAAAUCAUACCAUUGAUUAAUCAACAGGAAAAAAGUUGGACAAGUUUGCAUUCUGAUCACAAUUCAUACCGUUGCUCUAUCAUUAUAAUGGAUAUAUAUCCUGUCAAAAUUAACAAUGAAAACCACACCCAAAAUCCAAACCCCUUCUCUCUCUCUCUCUCUCUCUCUCUCUCUCUCAUUCAUUUCCUGUCAUCAAAUACAUAUCCUAAAAGGUGAUACAACAACUGGGCUCCUUACAGUGCGAUUUCAAUUUUCUUCAACCCAAACAAUUUCUCCAAACUACUCUUUUCCUUGCUUAAGGCCUCCAUAUUUUAUUGGAAAAAUUGGAAACACGCAGCGUUUGAUUUGGAAUGGUGUUCCAAUUUAUUUGACUCGGUCAAUCAAAUCUAAUUUAAACCCUGUUUAAAGUUAAAAGCUAUUUUUAAAACUCAAACCUACUGUUUUUGAAAAUGUUUAAUUAAAUUUUAAAAAAUCGUUGAAGUUUCCAAAAAUAUUUUUAGCCAAAACCAAUCAAAAGUAAUGUUUUCAUAAAACAUUUCUAAAAUAAUAGUAAUAAUAAUAAUUUUCCACAUCUUUAGUCGUAAUUCUCUUGCAACAUAAUAAUAAUAAUAAUAAACGAAAAAAAGCUACUUCGCAGUGGCUACAAACUGAACACCGCUUACGCAUGAUGGACUUUAAGGGCAGAUCAUCAGAAUGAAGUGUUUGGCUGUCAACAUGAAUUACAAGCCCAUCAGAAUCUCCAAAAACGUCAAACUAAUCAAAGUUUGACGUUAGUCCUCAGAGGAUGGGGAAAGAAAGCAACAAUGGAAGACUACAGAGUAGACUAACCUGCAUAUAUUAUAACCCAUAUAACACGUCCAUUGUGGAAUUAUCUGAUAAAGACUAGUUACUUUGGUGUUAUCUCUUGUCGUAUCGUUCUGUUGUAAACAGUUCCUAUCAUUUUCUGUUGUAAAUAGUUCCUAUCACUCUAUCGUGUAGCUGUCUCUAUUAACUGUCAGCCUGUAUAAAUACCAGUUACUAUUCAUUGAAUAAAAUAACUUUUCUGAUCA